rnacentral:lncRNA from 1 species
CUUUUGAGUGAGUAUACAACAGAGACACCAGAAUAUAAAGGAACUUACCAGGCGACAAAUUUCGAUUCUGUUAUGAAACUUCUUCUAUUUGCAACAACCCUUGUAAUGGCUGCAUAUGUUGCAGCCAAGCCAGCGGAAUUUGAUGAAGAUAUGAAUAAAAGAGGGGAAUGGUCAACCUUGUCCAAAACCGUUAAUGGACGUGAAUUGCUAUUCGGAUGUGACAGAAGACACACAUAUUUGGACGAUGGAAAAUGUUGGUCUUAUUGUGGUGCAAGCUGGACGAGCGGGGCGUGGUGCUACACGAGGAGACGUGAUGGUCAGGCGAAGGGUUGUUCGAAAGACAGCAAAUGUUAUCAGUUCGUCGACGAAUGCUAUACUAAUUGUUCUCUUUAAAAUUGUCCGAAGAAUUUAUCAGCAGCAUUGCGAUUAGUCUAACAAAACAUGAUUAGUCUAAUAUGUUAAAAUCAUGACAUGAAAAAUAAAAGAGUGCGUUAAAAGGA